rnacentral:rRNA from 1 species
ACAGAGCUAAAAUUUCACACCUAAGCACUAAGACUUUACAGUUAAAACUUAAAGGACAUGGCGACGGUAUUUAUUCAGGGGAACUUACCAGAUAAAUGACAACCCACAAGGAACCGUGCUAAACUUAAAAGUAUGUAUACCGCCGUCAAGAACUUACUUUAGGCAAGUUCAACUAGUUAUCCUACUAUAAGACAGGUCAUGGUGCAGCCGAUAGUUUAGCCUAGGCGAGUUACAUUAUUCUUUUUUUCUCGUUCCUUACCAUGAAAUAGGUAAGAAGAGCCGGACUUGAAAGUAAAAUUGAAAAGAAAUACUUAUUGAAUUUUUCUUUACCGUGC